rnacentral:lncRNA from 1 species
GAUCGGACAAUGAUCUGAUAUGAAAUGAUCUGUAAAAUAACUAAGACCAUAUAUAAUGGUGUUGAAUCUUUUUAUUCAACUGUUGAAUAUCAGAUAAAAAGUGCAACAGAGUAGUUGAACAAGUAAAAAAUGAUGACCUGGAUUAAACCUAGUUGAAUUUAUUAUUCAAAGGUUGAAAAACUAAAAGUGGAAACCACCACAUACACGUGGUGACUUCUGAACCAAACAUAAAAAUAUUUGCUCUGCAUACGUUAGUAACGUGCAUUCAAACA